rnacentral:rRNA from 1 species
UACGGACUGGAUAAACGCUGAAGGCAUCUAAGCGUGAAACCAACUCUAAGAUGAGACUUCCCAUCGCGCAAGCGAGUAAGGCCCCACGAAGACUACGUGGUUGAUAGGCCGGAGAUGUAAGUGCAGUAAUGCAUUGAGUCGACCGGUACUAAUAGGCCGAGGGCUUGACCUU